UACGUAGGGACCAAGCGUUGUUCGGAUUUACGUGGGCGUAAAGGGCGCGUAGGCGGCGUGGUAAGUCACUUGUGAAAUCUCUGAGCUUAACUCAGAACGGUCAAGUGAUACUGCUGUGCUAGAGUGCGGAAGGGGCAAUCGGAAUUCUUGGUGUAGCGGUGAAAUGCGCAGAUAUCAGGAGGAACACCGGUGGCGAAGGCGGGUCUCUGGGCCGAUAUUGACGCUGAGGAGCGAAAGCGUGGGGAGCAAACAGG
rnacentral:rRNA from 1 species